AAGACAAAGAGCCAUUAUUACAUGAAGUGCACUAUGUACCUUUGCAAGUCUAGUUUAUCUGUGCAGCCCUUGACUCCUAUGGAAGUGAGUUAUAGAAAACUUUAAAAUUAUUUAUUAAACUAGACUAGAUUUCAAGUACCUUCAGCUUUUAAGGAAUGAGGGGUUUUUCUCCCCAGAAGUGGUGUAUUUGUAGCUUUAGUUCAAUCAGUCUAAGGCCUGGUCUACACUACGAGUUUAGGUCGAAUUUAGCAGCGUUAAAUCAAAUUAAGCCUGGACACGUCCACAUGCUGAAGCCCUUUUUUUCGACUUAAAGUGCCCUUUAAACCAGUUUCUUUACGCCACCUCAGACGAGGGGAUUAGUGCUAAAAUCGACCUUUGCGGGUCAGAUUUGGGGUAGUGUGGACGGAAUUCGACGUUAUUGGCCUCCGGGAGCUAUCCGUAGUGCUUCAUUGUGACCGCUCUGGACAGCGCUCUCAACUCAGAUGCACUGACCAGGUAGACAAGAAAAGCCCCGCGAACUUUUGAAUUUCAUUUCCUGUUUGCCCAGCGUGGAGAGCACAGGUGACCACGCAGAGCUCAUCAGCACAGGUAACCAUGAUGGAGUCCCAGGAUCGCAAAAGAGCUCCAGCAUGAACAGAACGGGAGGUACGGGAUCUGCUCACCAUAUGGGGAGACGAAUCAGUGCUAGCUGAACUCCGUAGCAGUAAACGAAAUGGCAAAAUAUUAGAAAAAGUCUCAAAGGCCAUGAAGGACAGAGGCCAUAACAGGGACGCACAGCAGUGCUGCGUGAAAAUUAAGGAGCUCAGGCAAGCCUACCACAAAGCCAGAGAGGCAAACGGAAGGUCCAGGGCAGAGCCGCAAACAUGCCGCUUCUACGCGGAGCUGCAUGCCAUGCUAGGGGGUGGAGCCACCACUACCCCAACCGUGUGCUUUGACUCCAUCAAUGGAGAAUCAUGCAACAGGGAAGCGGGUUCGGGGUACGAGGAAGAUGAUGAUGAAGACAAUGAAGAUAGAAGAUAGCUCACAGCAAGGAAGCAGAGAAACUGGUUUCCCCAACAGCCAGGAUAUGUUUAUCACCCUGGACCUGGAACCAGUAACCCCGAACUCACCCAAGGCGUCCUCCCAGACCCUAAGGGCACACAAGGGACUUCUGCUGCAAAUGUUUCUCCUUCACAGAGGCUAGUGAAGAUUAGAAGGAGAAAACGGUGGACUCGGGAAGAUAUGUUCUCAGAGCUCCAGAUGUCCUCCCACGCUGACAGAGCACAGCAGAAUGCAUGGAGGCAGUCAAUGUCAGAGUGCAAAAAAGCACAAUAUGAACGAGAGGAGAGGUGGCAGGCUGAAUCGCGGGCUGAAGAGGAUAGGGUGGCGUCAGCUUGCUGACAGAAGGCAAGAGUCGAUGCUCCGGCUGCUGGAGCAUCAAACUGAUAUGCUCCAGCAUAUGGUUGAGCUGCAGGAAAGGCAGCAGGAGCAGAGACCGCCGCUACAGCCCUUGUGUAACCAACAGCCCUCCUCCCCAAGUUCCAUAGCCUCCUCUCCCAGACGCCCAAGAAUGCGGUGGGGGUGGGCCUCCGGCCACCCAGUCACUCCACCCCAGAUGAUUGCCUAAGCAUCAGAAGGCUGGCCUUCAAUAAGUGUUAAAGUUUUGAACUGCAGUGUGUCCUUUUCCUUCCCUCCUCCCCUACCCCUCCCGGGCUACCUUGGCAGUUAUCCCCCUAGUUGUGUGAUGAAUUAAUAAAGAAUGCAUGAAUGUGAA